CGCCUGUAGGAAAUGAAAUUAUAGGUUUGGCCUGCCCGGUGAGGAGUUUAACGGCCGCAGUAGCUUGACUGUGCUAAGGUAGCGCAAUCACUUGCCUUUUAAUUGGAGGCUAGUAUGAAUGGCUUGUCGAGGGUUUAGCUGUCUCUUUUAAGUUUAUAAAAAAUUGUCUUUAGGUGCAGAGGCCUAAAUAGUUAUGAAAGACAAGAAGACCCUAAUGUGCUUUAAUUUUAAGUUUUUUAUAAUAAAUUUUACAAUUUUUGUUGGGGAAACAAGGGAAUAAGAAAAGCUUCCCAAACUAAUUUUAUGUAAUCCGCUAUAGUAAGCUAUUAUGGAAAAAGCAACCAUAGGGAUAACAGACUAAUUUCCUUUGAGAGUUCACAUUAACAAGGAUGUUUGGCACCCUCGAUGUUGGCUUAAGGAUAUUACUAUGAAGUAGAAGUCUAGUGAAUGGGNCUUGUUCAGCCUUUAAAUCCUUA
rnacentral:rRNA from 1 species